GGAAAGGCGCGCGAUACAGGGUGACAGCCCCGUACACAAAAAUGCACAUGCUGUGAGCUCGAUGAGUAGGGCGGGACACGUGGUAUCCUGUCUGAAUAUGGGGGGACCAUCCUCCAAGGCUAAAUACUCCUGACUGACCGAUAGUGAACCAGUACCGUGAGGGAAAGGCGAAAAGAACCCCGGCGAGGGGAGUGAAAAAGAACCUGAAACCGUGUACGUACAAGCAGUGGGAGCACGCUUAGGCGUGUGACUGCGUACCUUUUGUAUAAUGGGUCAGCGACUUAUAUUCUGUAGCAAGGUUAACCGAAUAGGGGAGCCGAAGGGAAACCGAGUCUUAACUGGGCGUUAAGUUGCAGGGUAUAGACCCGAAACCCGGUGAUCUAGCCAUGGGCAGGUUGAAGGUUGGGUAACACUAACUGGAGGACCGAACCGACUAAUGUUGAAAAAUUAGCGGAUGACUUGUGGCUGGGGGUGAAAGGCCAAUCAAACCGGGAGAUAGCUGGUUCUCCCCGAAAGCUAUUUAGGUAGCGCCUCGUGAAUUCAUCUCCGGGGGUAGAGCACUGUUUCGGCAAGGGGGUCAUCCCGACUUACCAACCCGAUGCAAACUGCGAAUACCGGAGAAUGUUAUCACGGGAGACACACGGCGGGUGCUAACGUCCGUCGUGAAGAGGGAAACAACCCAGACCGCCAGCUAAGGUCCCAAAGUCAUGGUUAAGUGGGAAACGAUGUGGGAAGGCCCAGACAGCUAGGAUGUUGGCUUAGAAGCA
rnacentral:rRNA from 1 species